GUUUUUGAUUCAUACAAAAAAUAAAAAAUUUCAAUCAAUAAUCAAAAUAUGCCGCACUAUAAAAGUGCAAAGCAAAUUUAGCAGGUUUUGUCCUCAUUGUAGAUUUAGUGCCAAAUUAAAAUACAUCAUUAAUUUUAAUCAGUGAUCUCUUUAAAACACAAUAAUUGAUCAAAUUAGUAUUUCUUUUCUUUAAGACAAUUUAGUAACUUUUCAAUAAAAAAUGCUUUAAUUUUAGCUUUAAAACUUUAUAUUUUUAAUGCAAAUUCUACUUUUAAUAAUUUAAAAACACAAUGUAAAGACCCACUGCGAUAGAAAUUGUGAUGAUGACGGACACAUAUAAAGAAAAUUAGGCAUAUUACUGUAUUUCUAUUGUUGUGAAUCAGGAGCAGACAAAAUAAAAAUGCAGUUUGAAAAAGAUUGUAUUUGUUACGCCGAAAAAAAUAUGCUGGGCGUGUCACAAGCUCCAAGCUCUCACAGCAAAGAAGGGAAGGGGGGCGGGGUCGCUCUCGGCCAACAAUCCCAUCCAAUACUCAGAGGUGAACUUCGAACAAACUUAAAGGAGCCCAGCCACAAUUACAGACUUGCCUCUAAUGUAAGAAGCACCGGAUGCAUCCGGCGUUUAUUGGAGAUCAAUAAGUAACGGGCCACUAAUGGAAGGUAUAAGGUUUGGCAACUCUUUGAAUAGAUGAUUGCAAUGGGUCUCUAAAGGUAAAAAUAAAUAUUUUAAACCUAAGUCCAAAAAAGUCUGGAUUUGUCACAUCCGUCAUGUUGAGGGAAAAGAAAAUUUAAAAUGAUUUUUUCCCCCCCAACUUCAGUUCCAGGAGCUUCAAGUGGACAGGGAGACGCUUCUGACCUCCAACCGGAGCGUCGCCGAGGAGAGUCUCGCCCGGCGACCUCACCUCAACAACGGCAAACUCCAGCUGGCGGAGAAAUACAAGGAGCUGUCCAACCUGGUGACCACGUGCUGGGAGAAGCAGAGUCAGCUGGACGCUCGCGGACAGAAGCACAGCCUACAGACGGCGCAGAACCUCCUGCAGGAGGAGGUGGCACGAGCUGAGGAGCAGUCAGAGGUAGGACGACACAAAAGCUCCUUUGUUUUCAGAGGCAGACGGCGUUUUUAUCUCUCUGUGGUGGGGAGUUUUGACGCAGUGAACCCACACACGUCCGUGGCUUUGGCUCACUAAAGCCCAUAUGCAUGCCGCAUGGAUGUCACAACAUGUUAGCAAUCGACAUGCAACCGACCUUCUGCAGACAUGCAGUUGACAAGCAGCAAACCUGAAACCAAGAUGCAUGUAAAAUACAGCCGACAUGCAGCUGGCAUCCAACAGAUGUGUAAUCAACGUGCUGCUAACAUGCAGCCUAAAUAUAGCUAACAUGUAGCUAAUAUGCUGCAGGCAUUAAACAGACAUGCAGCCAACAUACCGCUAACAUGCAGCCAACAUGCUGCAUGCAGCAGACAUGCCGCCAACAUGCAGUCCACGCUCAUGGAAACCCAACUCUCCCCGUCUGCUCUGGAUUCUGAUUGUUCUUCGGAGACAAAUUCCUGUUGGUCUGAAGUUCCCAAACGUCUCUGAAGUGUCUGAUGCCUUCACAGGUGUCUGUUAAACCCAGCUGUGAAAGGAGGGUCGUCACUGUGACACACAGCUGAGUCCAAAGACGCAUGCUGACAUGUUUAUC
ensembl:lncRNA